UCAGAACGAACGCUGGCGGCGUGCUUAACACAUGCAAGUCGAACGCGAAAGGGACUUCGGUCCUGAGUAAAGUGGCGCACGGGUGAGUAACGCGUGGAUAAUCUACCCAAUGGUCUGGGAUAACAUUUCGAAAGGGGUGCUAAUACCGGAUAAGACCACGGAGUCUUUGGACUCUGCGGUAAAAGGUGGGGACCUUCGGGCCUACCGCAAUUGGAUGAGUCCGCGUACCAUUAGCUAGUUGGUAGGGUAAAGGCCUACCAAGGCGACGAUGGUUAGCUGGUCUGAGAGGAUGAUCAGCCACACUGGAACUGAGACACGGUCCAGACUCCUACGGGAGGCAGCAGUGGGGAAUUUUGCGCAAUGGGGGAAACCCUGACGCAGCAACGCCGCGUGAGUGAUGAAGGCCUUCGGGUCGUAAAGCUCUGUCAGAGGGGAAGAAAUGCGGGGUGCUAAUAUCACUUCCGCUUGACGGUACCCUCAAAGGAAGCACCGGCUAACUCCGUGCCAGCAGCCGCGGUAAUACGGAGGGUGCGAGCGUUGUUCGGAAUUAUUGGGCGUAAAGCGCGUGUAGGCGGUUUGUUAAGUCUGAUGUGAAAGCCCCGGGCUCAACCUGGGAAGUGCAUUGGAAACUGGCAGACUUGAAUACGGGAGAGGGUAGUGGAAUUCCUAGUGUAGGAGUGAAAUCCGUAGAUAUUAGGAGGAACACCGGUGGCGAAGGCGGCUGCCUGGACCGAUAUUGACGCUGAGACGCGAAAGCGUGGGGAGCAAACAGGAUUAGAUACCCUGGUAGUCCACGCCGUAAACGAUGAGUACUAGGUGUUGCGGGUAUUGACCCCUGCAGUGCCGCAGCUAACGCAUUAAGUACUCCGCCUGGGAAGUACGGCCGCAGGGCUAAAACUCAAAG
rnacentral:rRNA from 1 species